UCAGGGAGGAAGCGCGCUGGUCCUGUCCUAUGACAGGUGAAGAGGGAAUGCGACAGGGUUUGCGACCAGGAACGGUCCGAUCCCGAAGCGCAGCCGCCCCCGCGACCGUGACCGGAGAGGUCGCCCCGACCACUGGCUGAGGCUGGGAAGGUGGGGUGACCGCAGGGCCGACCCAACCCGGGGGCCCGAGAUCCGCAAGCCGGGAGACCUGCCCGCGCAUCGAUGUAACG
rnacentral:ncRNA from 2 species